CGGUCAGGGAGCGAGCGUGGUUUGGAGGCGAUGCUUGAAGCGCGUCUGUUGCGUGCGUGUGGGUGAGGUGAGGCUUCGGGAGGGGGGUGGGUGUGUGUGUGUGUGUGUGCGUGCGUGUCCCUGCUCUGUUACAAUUACUUUCCUUUUACACGUUGAUCUUAUUUGAUCGGGCCGAGAUGUCGCCGCCUUCCCGGCCUGAAAUGAAAAGAGCCGUUUCUGUGAAGCCCUUGGGCGCUGUACAGAGAAGCUGAGGUGGAAUGGGCGUGCGGCACGAUUGUCGGAGAUGAUGAAUUGAUCAGAUAGAUGAGGCUGGAGGUUUGGAAAAUUCCUCUUCCUAGCCAAUGUGUAUCGAAGCGAUUCUGAUCCGG
rnacentral:snoRNA from 1 species